rnacentral:rRNA from 1 species
CAGGCCUAACACAUGCAAGUCGAACGCCCCGCAAGGGGAGUGGCAGACGGGUGAGUAACACGUGGGAACGUGCCCUACGGUUCGGGAUAACUCUGGGAAACUAGAGCUAAUACCGGAUACGUGCGAGAGCAGAAAGAUUUAUCGCCGUAGGAUCGGCCCGCGUCUGAUUAGCUAGUUGGUGAGGUAAUGGCUCACCAAGGCGACGAUCAGUAGCUGGUCUGAGAGGAUGAUCAGCCACACUGGGACUGAGACACGGCCCAGACUCCUACGGGAGGCAGCAGUGGGGAAUAUUGGACAAUGGGCGAAAGCCUGAUCCAGCCAUGCCGCGUGAGUGAUGACGGCCUUAGGGUUGUAAAGCUCUUUUACCCGGGAAGAUAAUGACGUGAGAUGGGAGAAUAACCCACGCCUAUCAUCGUGCCAGCAUCCCCGGU